UAGCUCAGUUGGUAGAGCUCCGGGUUGUGAUCCCGGCGGUCGUGGGUUCAAGCCCC
rnacentral:tRNA from 1 species